GGCCCCCCAGCCCAGCCUGGCCUGAGGAGCAGGACUUAGCUGCCUUGUGAACAGAGUCAGCAUCAUAUUGUGUUCACAGUGGCUAAGUUCCGCCCCCCUUGCCCCCCUACCCUUGGCCACCUU
rnacentral:pre_miRNA from 12 species